GCAAGACGGGGGAGAAGUUAAAAAUUUCUAUCUCCAACCAGGUCUCCUAAGCAACCAAAUUGGCCCGGUUGCUAGGGAGGGUAGAGUCACAUGGGGUAACCACCUCGUGGCCGCGAUCAGUGGUUCUUGCUCUCAAUGGAGCACGUGGUAAGUUGUGCUCGGAUUGCAGAGAGUAGCAUGAGCCUCCACAUGCUGGGAGUCUCUGCGGUGUCAUGCACAAUGAGCCAGGACUUGUCCUCUGCCACCCGGAAUGAGACAUUCAUUGAUCGACUGGAGUCAUGUGGAGUACUUUUAUGCUGCCUAAAUAUGCCUUUUGGACCAUCAAACAGCCAACAGCCUUCACGGCACCCAUUCAGUUUCAUUGUAUGGACAAACAG